UUUCCAAGGCCUCACCCUGGAAGUCAUCGGCUCGUGUGGCUUUGGUCUCGAGAUUAACUCAGUGCGAGAUAACACGUCACCAUUUCUGGCAGCAUGUCGUAAAGCGUUCAGUGCGUCACUGAUGAUGAUGACGCCAAUGUUAAUUUCCGAACUUUUUCCAUCGUUGACCGGUCUAGCCAAGGUGUUGAACAAAUAUCUGACGAGAAGGAGGGUGCGUGACAUUAACGUUCUGGUCAGCGCUGCCGUACAGUCCAGAUUAAAUGAUCCAAAGUCUCGACGGGUGGAUCUCCUGCAGCUAAUGUUGGACGCCAAAACUGACAAUCUGGACU